rnacentral:rRNA from 1 species
AGUUUGAUCAUGGCUCAGGACGAACGCUGGCGGCGUGCUUAAUACAUGCAAGUCGAGCGAGGUUACUGUUUUGGAUCCCUUCGGGGUGAAGAAGCUUUAACCUAGCGGCGGACGGGUGAGUAACGCGUGGGUAACCUACCCCAAAGUCCGGGAUAACAGCGGGAAACCGCUGCUAAUACCGGAUGCCUUUACCUUGGGGCAUCUUGAGGUAAAGAAAGGCAACGCUUUGGGAUGGGCCCGCGUCCCAUUAGCUAGUUGGUGAGGUAACGGCUCACCAAGGCGACGAUGGGUAGCCGGCCUGAGAGGGUGACCGGCCACACUGGGACUGAGACACGGCCCAGACUCCUACGGGAGGCAGCAGUAGGGAAUUUUCCGCAAUGGGCGCAAGCCUGACGGAGCAACGCCGCGUGAAGGAAGAAGGCCUUCGGGUCGUAAACUUUUGUCUUUGGGGACGAUAAUGACGGUACCCGAGGAGGAAGCCCCGGCUAACUACGUGCCAGCAGCCGCGGUAAUACGUAGGGGCGAGCGUUGUCCGGAAUUACUGGGCGUAAAGGGCGUGUAGGCGNNNAAUAAGUCAGGUGUGAAAUUCCAAGGCUUAACCUGGNCGCUGCACUUGAAACUGUUGGGCUUGAGGUCAGGAGAGGGAAGCGGAAUUCCCAGUGUAGCGGUGAAAUGCGUAGAUAUUGGGAGGAACACCAGUGGCGAAGGCGGCUUCCUGGACUGCACCUGACGCUGAGGCGCGAAAGCUAGGGUAGCGAACGGGAUUAGGUACCCCGGUAGUCCUAGCCGUAAACGAUGGGUACUAGGUGUGGGAGGUAUCGACCCCUUCCGUGCCGCAGUUAACGCAAUAAGUACCCCGCCUGGGGAGUACGGCCGCAAGGCUGAAACUCAAAGGAAUUGACGGGGGCCCGCACAAGCGGUGGAGCAUGUGGUUUAAUUCGAUGCAACGCGAAGAACCUUACCAGGUCUUGACAUCCCUCUGACCGGUAUAGAGAUAUACCUUUCCUUCGGGACAGAGGAGACAGGUGGUGCAUGGCUGUCGUCAGCUCGUGUCGUGAGAUGUUGGGUUAAGUCCCGCAACGAGCGCAACCCCUAUUCUUAGUUGCCAACGGUUCGGUCGGGCACUCUAAGGAGACUGCCGGUGACAAACCGGAGGAAGGUGGGGAUGACGUCAAGUCAUCAUGCCCCUUAUGAUCUGGGCUACACGCGUGCUACAAUGGCCGGUACAAUGAGUCGCGAAGCCGCGAGGCGGAGCUAAUCUCAAAAAGCCGGUCUCAGUUCGGAUUGUAGUCUGCAACUCGACUACAUGAAGUCGGAAUCGCUAGUAAUCGCGAAUCAGAAUGUCGCGGUGAAUACGUUCUCGAGUCUUGUACACACCGCCCGUCACACCACGAGAGUUUGUAAUACCCGAAACCGGUGGCCUAACCGCAAGGAGGGAGCCGUCUAAGGUAGGAUGAAUGAUUGGGGUGAAGUCGUAACAAGGUAACC